GACGCUGGCGGUGCGCCUUAUGCAUGCAAGUCGAGCGAAGCUUUUCAGUAGUUUACUACAGAAAAUGACUGAGCGGCGAACGGGUGAGUAACGCGUGAGCAAUCUACCUUAGUUACAGGGAUAGCCCGAGGAAACUCGGAUUAAUACCUGAUAUUCUUUACAUUUCGCAUGAAAUCAAAAGGAAAGGUCAGCCGAACUAAGAUGAGCUCGCGUUCUAUCAGCUAGUUGGUGAGGUAAAAGCUCACCAAGGCAACGACGGAUAGCUGGUCUGAGAGGACGAUCAGCCACACUGGGACUGAGACACGGCCCAGACUCCUACGGGAGGCUGCAGCAGGGAAUAUUGCGCAAUGAGCGAAAGCUUGACGCAGCGACACCGCGUGUGGGAUGACGGAUCUAGGUUUGUAAACCACUUUCAGGAGGGAAGAAAAUGACGGUACCUCCACAAGAAGCCCCGGCCAACUACGUGCCAGCAGCCGCGGUAAUACGUAGGGGGCGAGCGUUGUCCGGAUUUAUUGGGCGUAAAGAGCUCGUAGGCGGUUCAACAAGUCGGUCGUAAAAGUUCAGGGCUCAACCCUGAAAUGUCGAUCGAUACUGUUGUGACUAGGAUACGGUAGAGGUGAGUGGAAUUCCGAGUGUAGCGGUGAAAUGCGUAGAUAUUCGGAGGAACACCAAUUGCGAAGGCAGCUCACUGGGCCGCUAUCGACGCUGAGGAGCGAAAGCUAGGGGAGCAAACAGGAUUAGAUACCCUGGUAGUCCUAGCUGUAAACGAUGGAUACUAGACGUAGGAACUGGAUUGACGGUUUCUGUGUCGUAGCUAACGCGUUAAGUAUCCCGCCUGGGGAGUACGGU
rnacentral:rRNA from 1 species